rnacentral:rRNA from 1 species
UACGGAGGAUCCUAGUGUUAUCCGGAUUUAUUGGGUUUAAAGGGAGCGUAGGCGGGAGGUCAAGUCAGCUGUGAAAUGUAUCUGCUUAACGGGUACACUGCAGUUGAAACUGAUGUACUGGAGUGCUGUAGAGGCAAGUGGAAUUCCCAGUGUAGCGGUGAAAUGCGUAGAUAUUGGGAAGAACACCGGUGGCGAAGGCGACUUGCUGGGCAGCAACUGACGCUGAGGCGCGAAAGCCAGGGGAGCAAACGGGAUUAGAUA